GGUGCGGGGCGCUGCGGCCGCGGCUGCAGCUCCUCCUGUCGCACCAUUUGGCUGUCACUGCGUCGCAAAAGCGGCCUCACUUGGCGGCUGCCAGGACACGUGACGGCUGCGGCCGCUACCUCCCGCCGGCAGGGGUCUCACGCAUUAAUUUGACAGACAUUUUUUGAAGGUUUCUAGUUCUGUGACCAUGCUUUCAGAACUUCAACUCAUGAUAGAUGAUAAAGAAAUUUUAUGAAAUAUUUUAGGUUAACUAUCAGCUUGGCAUUUCCUGUCCCUCAGAAACAGAGAACCUCUAUCAGCUCUAAGUUCAACUCCCUGAGACUGAAAUGAUUCUUCUCUCCACCUGUGCCUGGACCAAUAUACUCAUUGGAAUCAACCAUCACUUUUGAUGAAACAUAACUUGUGUUACAUGUGUGUAUAUUGACAUGGGUUAAAUACAUUUCUUAUGUCUGUAGUAAUAUUAUAAUAAUAAACAUUUAUG